rnacentral:rRNA from 1 species
UAAACUAGGAUUAGAUACCCUAUUAUUAUAAAUGUUAAUUAUAUAGUACUAAAUUAGUAAUAGUUAUGUUCUUUAAAAUUAAAAAAUUUGGCGGUAUUUUAGUCUUUUCAGAGGAACCUGUCCUGUGAUUGAUAGUCCACGAUAAGAGGUACUUUAUUUUUUAAUUUACAUAUCGUCGUAGAUUUGAAUAUUUUAAGAGAAAUUUAAUAUUCAAAAUUUUAAAUUAAAAAUAAAAUCAGAUCAAGGUGUAGUGAAUAAUAAAGUAGAGAUGGGUUACAUUAAAUUUAUUUAAGGAUAAAUUUUUUUAAAAAAUUUUGAAUUUGGAUUUGAAAGUAAUUUUUUGUGUUUUCUAAGAAUGAUUUUAGCUCUAAAAUAUGUACACAUCGCCCGUCGCUCUUAA